AUUGAACGCUGGCGGCAGGCUUAACACAUGCAAGUCGAGCGAGCGGCGGACGGGUGAUUACUGUAUGGGAAACUGCCUGAUGGAGGGGGUUAACUACUGGCAACGGUAGCUAAUACGGCAUACCAUCAGAUGUGCCCAGAUGGGAAUAGCUAGUAGGGGGGGUAAGAGCUCACCUAGGCGACGAUCCCUAGAUGGUCUGAGAGGAUGAUCAGCCAAACUGGAACUGAGACACGGUCCAGACUCCUACGGGAGGCAGCAGUGGGGAAUAUUGCACAAUGGGCGCAAGCCUGAUGCAGCCAUGCCGCGUGUGUGAAGAAGGCCUUAGGGGUGUAAAGCACUUUCAGCGAGGAGGCGUUACUCGCAGAAGAAGCACCGGCUAACUACGUGCCAGCAGCCGCGGUAAUAC
rnacentral:rRNA from 1 species